CCUCGGCAUCUGGAAUAACUCACCGAAAGGUGUGCUAAUACCGGAUACGUUGAGUAAUCAAGAAAGGUGGCCUCUGAAUAUGCUACUGUGCUGAGAUGAGCUUGCGUACCAUUAGCUAGUUGGUAGGGUAAUGGCCUACCAAGGCAACGAUGGUUAGCGGGUCUGAGAGGAUGAUCCGCCACACUGGAACUGAAACACGGACCAGACUCCUACGGGAGGCAGCAGUGAGGAAUAUUGCGCAAUGGGGGCAACCCUGACGCAGCGACGCCGCGUGGAUGAUGAAGGCCUUCGGGUCGUAAAAUCCUGUCAGGUGGAAAGAAGUGCAUGGUGGUUAAUACCUGCCAUGUUUGACGGUACCACCGAAGGAAGCACCGGCUAACUCCGUGCCAGCAGCCGCGGUAAUACGGAGGGUGCAAGCGUUGUUCGGAAUUACUGGGCGUAAAGCGCGCGUAGGCGGUUUGUUAAGUCAGAUGUGAAAGCCCUCGGCUCAACCGGGGACGUGCAUUUGAAACUGGCAGACUUGAGUAUUGGAGGGGGUGGUGGAAUUCCCGGUGUAGAGGUGAAAUUCGUAGAUAUCGGGAGGAAUACCGGUGGCGAAGGCGACCACCUGGCCAAAUACUGACGCUGAGGUGCGAAAGCGUG
rnacentral:rRNA from 1 species